rnacentral:rRNA from 1 species
UUGAACGCUGGCGGCAUGCCUAACACAUGCAAGUCGAACGGCAGCACAGCAGUAGCAAUACUGUGGGUGGCGAGUGGCGGACGGGUGAGGAAUACGUCGGAAUCUGCCCAGUCGUGGGGGAUAACUAGCCGAAAGGUUAGCUAAUACCGCAUACGACCGAGAGGUGAAAGCGGGGGACCUCAAGGCCUCGCGCGAUUGGAUGAGCCGACGUCGGAUUAGCUAGUUGGCGGGGUAAAGGCCCACCAAGGCGACGAUCCGUAGCUGGUCUGAGAGGAUGAUCAGCCACACUGGAACUGAGACACGGUCCAGACUCCUACGGGAGGCAGCAGUGGGGAAUAUUGGACAAUGGGCGCAAGCCUGAUCCAGCAAUGCCGCGUGUGUGAAGAAGGCCUUCGGGUUGUAAAGCACUUUUAUCAGGAACGAAAAGCGUUGGAUUAAUACUCUGACGUGCUGACGGUACCUGAGGAAUAAGCACCGGCUAACUUCGUG